UACGUAGGGGGCAAGCGUUAUCCGGAUUCACUGGGUGUAAAGGGAGCGUAGACGGCGACGCAAGUCUGGAGUGAAAGUCCAUCGCUUAACGGUGGAUCCGCGCCGGGUACGGGCGGGCUUGAGUGCGGUAGGGGAGACUGGAAUUCCCGGUGUAACGGUGGAAUGUGUAGAUAUCGGGAAGAACACCAAUGGCGAAGGCAGGUCUCUGGGCCGUUACUGACGCUGAGGAGCGAAAGCGUGGGGAGCGAACAGG
rnacentral:rRNA from 1 species